UCUAAGGUCAGCCCUUGAUUUCCUAGAGCUUCAGCCUGAUUUAUCAGCCCUUGUUCGCGGCGCCCAUACUUUCCGGUGCCCAAAUCUUGGGAUUACUAGCUGGGUUAGACUGCCAAUCCAUGAUGCAGAUUUUGGCUGGGGAAGACCUAUAUUUAUGGGGCCUGGUGGGAUCGCAUACGAGGGCUUAUCAUUCAUCAUACCAAGCUCAACAAAUGACGGGAGCUUGUCAGUAGCCAUAUCUUUGCAAGCUGAACACAUGAAACUAUUUGAGAAGUUUAUAUAUGACAUUAAAGAAUGAGCCGAGGCCAUUAUCCUGUCAUGGUUUCUGUCCUCCCUUCAGUAAAUCAGG
rnacentral:lncRNA from 1 species